rnacentral:rRNA from 1 species
GACGAACGCUGGCGGCGUGCUUAACACAUGCAAGUCGAACGGAAAGGCCCUGCUUGCAGGGUACUCUAGUGUCGAACGGGUGAGUAACACGUGGGUGAUCUGCCCUGCACUUCGGGAUAAGCUUGGGAAACUGGGUCUAAUACCGGAUAGGAACCAUCUUUAUUGUUGUGGUUGGAAAGUUUUUUCGGUGUAGGAUGGGCUCGCGGCCUAUAAGGUUGUUGGUGGGUUAAUGGCCUACCAAGGCGGCGACGGGUAGCCGGCCUGAGUGGGUGAACGGCCAAAUUGGGAAGGAGAAACGGCCGAGACGCCUAGGGGAGGAAGAAGUGGGGAAUAGUGAAAAAUGGGCGGAAGGCGGAUGCAGCAACGGCGGGUGCGGGAUGAGGGCCUUCGGGUUGUAAACCGGUUUCGCCGGUGAAGAAGCGGGAGGGAGGGUAAUGGGGAAAGAAGAAACGGCUAACUAAGUG